UACGUAGGGUGCAAGCGUUGUCCGGAAUUAUUGGGCGUAAAGAGCUCGUAGGCGGUCUGUCGCGUCUGCUGUGAAAACUCAGGGCUUAACCCUGAGCUUGCAGUGGGUACGGGCAGACUAGAGUGCGGUAGGGGAGACUGGAAUUCCUGGUGUAGCGGUGAAAUGCGCAGAUAUCAGGAGGAACACCGGUGGCGAAGGCGGGUCUCUGGGCCGAAAGCUG
rnacentral:rRNA from 1 species